CCGUUAAGNGUAGCGGUGAAAUAGCGUAGAUAUUAGGAGGAACGACCAGUGGCGAAGGCGGCUACUGGGCUGUAACUGACGCUGAGGCUCGAAAAGCGUGGGUAGCAAACAGGAUUAGAUACCCUGGUAGUCCACGCCGUAAACGAUGAUUACUAGGUGUGGGGGGACUGGACUCCUUCCGUGCCGGAGUUAACACAAUAAGUAAUCCACCUGGGGAGUACGACCGCAAGGUUGAAACUCAAAGGAAUUGACGGGGGCCGCACAAGCAGUGGAGUAUGUGGUUUAAUUCGAAGCAACGCGAAGAACCUUACCAGGUCUUGACAUCGAGCGACGAACUUAGAGAUAAGUUCUUCCUUCGGGACGCGAAGACAGGUGGUGCAUGGUUGUCGUCAGCUCGUGUCGUGAGAUGUUGGGUUAAGUCCCGCAACGAGCGCAACCCUUAUCAUUAGUUGCUACGCAAGAGCACUCUAAUGAGACUGCCGUUGAUAAAACGGAGGAAGGUGGGGAUGACGUCAAAUCAUCAUGCCCCUUAUGACCUGGGUCGACGCGGCCG
rnacentral:rRNA from 1 species